rnacentral:rRNA from 1 species
UCCGGGAAACCGGAGCUAAUACCGGAUAGUUCCUUGAACCGCAUGGUUCAAGGAUGAAAGACGGUUUCGGCUGUCACUUACAGAUGGACCCGCGGCGCAUUAGCUAGUUGGUGAGGUAACGGCUCACCAAGGCGACGAUGCGUAGCCGACCUGAGAGGGUGAUCGGCCACACUGGGACUGAGACACGGCCCAGACUCCUACGGGAGGCAGCAGUAGGGAAUCUUCCGCAAUGGACGAAAGUCUGACGGAGCAACGCCGCGUGAGUGAUGAAGGUUUUCGGAUCGUAAAGCUCUGUUGUUAGGGAAGAACAAGUGCAAGAGUAACUGCUUGCACCUUGACGGUACCUAACCAGAAAGCCACGGCUAACUACGUGCCAGCAGCCGCGGUAAUACGUAGGUGGCAAGCGUUGUCCGGAAUUAUUGUGCGUAAAGGGCUCGCAGGCGGUUUCUUAAGUCUGAUGUGAAAGCCCCCGGCUCAACCGGGGAGGGUCAUUGCAAACUGGGAAACUUGAGUGCAGAAGAGGAGAGUGCAAUUCCACGUGUAGCGGUGAAAUGCGUAGAGAUGUGCAGGAACACC